CGAACGCGGAUUAGCCCAAACCAAUAUUGUUACGGCAAUAUUGGGGUUGUAGGACCACAAUAUUUGAUGCUAAGUGAAUUAGAACUGUUUGGAAAGACAGACCAAAGAGGGUGAUAGUCCCGUAAAAGUAAGCGAAGUUAUUGAUAGUGGUAUCCUGAGUAGUGCGGGACACGUGUAAUCCUGUAUGAAUCCACCGGGACCAUCCGGUAAGGCUAAAUACUCCUGAGAGACCGAUAGUGAACUAGUACCGUGAGGGAAAGGUGAAAA
rnacentral:rRNA from 13 species